rnacentral:sRNA from 1 species
GCCAGAUGCCUUUUUAGGUUAUUGAAUGAUAAAGUGCUUCUAUCACUCUCCCCACCCGAAACCUGUGUGCGUAAACACCUGAUUCAGAAUUUCUCGCUUCUCUUAUGUUUUAUGGGUUGACUCAUCAUUUGGGUCCUCCCCACCUCCAGGAGAAUGGUUUUACUUUGAACUGCUUUGUAAUACUGAUAUAACUUAAGCAUGCAUUGAGGCUCAAGGGCAGGGAGGUGGAUUCCAUCACAGCAUGAAAUACUGAAAUACAACUACACAAAACCAGUCUCCAUUACCCAAUUCAGAAAGUGGAAAAGCUAAGCCUUGUUCUAAUUUCUGUUCAGGUACUACUUAGUGGGCAUGCAGGAGCAGCAGUGCAUUGAUGGGGAGUGGAGCAGUGCACUUCCAGUCUGCAAAUUGAUCCAGGAAGCUCCCAAACCAGAGUGUGAGAAGGCACUUCUUGCCUUUCAGGAGAGUAAGGACCUCUGCGAAGCCAUGGAGAACUUUAUGCAACAAUUAAAGGAAAGUGGCAUGACAAUGGAGGAGCUAAAAUAUUCUCUGGAGCUGAAGAAAGCUGACUUGAAGGCAAAAUUGUUGUAACACUGCAGCUGAGCAGAUGUAAUAGAAAUAAACCUAUGAAUAAAUUUUCUUCUUGGUUCUGAGA